rnacentral:rRNA from 1 species
UACGGAGGAUGCGAGCGUUAUCCGGAUUUAUUGGGUUUAAAGGGUGCGUAGGCGGCCUGCCAAGUCAGCGGUAAAAUUGCGGGGCUCAACCCCGUACAGCCGUUGAAACUGCCGGGCUCGAGUGGGCGAGAAGUAUGCGGAAUGCGUGGUGUAGCGGUGAAAUGCAUAGAUAUCACGCAGAACCCCGAUUGCGAAGGCAUCUCACGAAUCCGCGAUUGACGCUGAUGCACGAAAGCGUGGGUAUCAAACAGG